GCUGCACAUUGUUAGAGCUCGUUGGUAAGGCCACUGGCUGGCCAAUGAGCUCACAAGUGCAGGUAGUGUGCUACAUGAUGGGCAAGAUUUUUGCUAACACCGCAAGGGUCUCUGACCCAAUGAGUAGAGUGUGAUAAUAAUCCUUGCUACAAGU